UGGCGGCGUGCUUAACACAUGCAAGUCGAACGGAGAGCGUAUGACAGAGGAUUCGUCCAAUGGAUUACGUUUCUUAGUGGCGGACGGGCGAGUAACGCGUGAGGAACCUGCCUUGGAGUGGGGAAUAACACAGUGAAAAUUGUGCUAAUACCGCAUGAAGCAGUUGGGUCGCAUGGCUCUGACUGCCAAAGAUUUAUCGCUCUGAGAUGGCCCCGCGUCUGAUUAGCUAGUUGGUGGGGCAACGGCCCACCAAGGCGACGAUCAGUAGCCGGACUGAGAGGUUGGCCGGCCACAUUGGGACUGAGAUACGGCCCAGACUCCUACGGGAGGCAGCAGUGGGGAAUAUUGGGCAAUGGGCGCAAGCCUGACCCAGCAACGCCGCGUGAAGGAAGAAGGCCCUCGGGUUGUAAACUUCUUUUGUCAGGGACGAAGCAAGUGACGGUACCUGACGAAUAAGCCACGGCUAACUACGUGCCAGCAGCCGCGGUAAUACGUAGGUGGCAAGCGUUAUCCGGAUUUACUGGGUGUAAAGGGCGUGUAGGCGGGAUGGCAAGUCAGAUGUGAAACCCAUGGGCUCAACCCAUGGCCUGCAUUUGAAACUGUCGUUCUUGAGUACUGGAGAGGCAGACGGAAUUCCUAGUGUAGCGGUGAAAUGCGUAGAUAUUAGGAGGAACACCAGUGGCGAAGGCGGUCUGCUGGACAGCAACUGACGCUGAGGCGCGAAAGCGUGGGGAGCAAACAGGAUUAGAUACCCUGGUAGUCCACGCUGUAAACGAUGGAUACUAGGUGUGGGGGGACUGACCCCCUCCGUGCCGCAGUUAACACAAUAAGUAUCCCACCUGGGGAGUACGAUCGCAAGGUUGAAACUCAAAGGAAUUGACGGGGGCCAGCACAAGCGGUGGAGUAUGUGGUUUAAUUCGAAGCAACGCGAAGAACCUUACCAGGGCUUGACAUCCCGGCGACCGGACUAGAGAUAGUCUUUUCCCUUCGGGGACGCCGGU
rnacentral:rRNA from 1 species